rnacentral:rRNA from 1 species
GACGUAGGGGGCGAGCGUUGUCCGGAUUUAUUGGGCGUAAAGAGCUCGUAGGCGGCUCGUUGCGUCGGCUGUGAAAACCCGCAGCUCAACUGUGGGCUUGCAGCCGAUACGGGCGGGCUGGAGUUCGGUAGGGGAGACUGGAAUUCCUGGUGUAGCGGUGAAAUGCGCAGAUAUCAGGAGGAACACCUGAGGUGAAGACGGGUUGCUGGGCUGACACUGACGCUGAGGCGCGAAAGCUAGGGUAGCAAACGGG